CUGAAUCAGUGUGUGUGUUAGUGGAAGCGUCUGGAAAGGCGCGCGAUACAGGGUGACAGCCCCGUACACAAAAAUGCACAUGCUGUGAGCUCGAUGAGUAGGGCGGGACACGUGGUAUCCUGUCUGAAUAUGGGGGGACCAUCCUCCAAGGCUAAAUACUCCUGACUGACCGAUAGUGAACCAGUACCGUGAGGGAAAGGCGAAAAGAACCCCGGCGAGGGGAGUGAAAAAGAACCUGAAACCGUGUACGUACAAGCAGUGGGAGCACGCUUAGGCGUGUGACUGCGUACCUUUUGUAUAAUGGGUCAGCGACUUAUAUUCUGUAGCAAGGUUAACCGAAUAGGGGAGCCGAAGGGAAACCGAGUCUUAACUGGGCGUUAAGUUGCAGGGUAUAGACCCGAAACCCGGUGAUCUAGCCAUGGGCAGGUUGAAGGUUGGGUAACACUAACUGGAGGACCGAACCGACUAAUGUUGAAAAAUUAGCGGAUGACUUGUGGCUGGGGGUGAAAGGCCAAUCAAACCGGGAGAUAGCUGGUUCUCCCCGAAAGCUAUUUAGGUAGCGCCUCGUGAAUUCAUCUCCGGGGGUAGAGCACUGUUUCGGCAAGGGGGUCAUCCCGACUUACCAACCCGAUGCAAACUGCGAAUACCGGAGAAUGUUAUCACGGGAGACACACGGCGGGUGCUAACGUCCGUCGUGAAGAGGGAAACAACCCAGACCGCCAGCUAAGGUCCCAAAGUCAUGGUUAAGUGGGAAACGAUGUGGGAAGGCCCAGACAGCCAGGAUGUUGGCUUAGAAGCAGCCAUCAUUUAAAGAAAGCGUAAUAGCUCACUGGUCGAGUCGGCCUGCGCGGAAGAUGUAACGGGGCUAAACCAUGCACCGAAGCUGCGGCAGCGACGCUUAUGCGUUGUUGGGUAGGGGAGCGUUCUGUAAGCCUGUGAAGGUGUGCUGUGAGGCAUGCUGGAGGUAUCAGAAGUGCGAAUGCUGACAUAAGUAACGAUAAAGCGGGUGAAAAGCCCGCUCGCCGGAAGACCAAGGGUUCCUGUCCAACGUUAAUCGGGGCAGGGUGAGUCGACCCCUAAGGCGAGGCCGAAAGGCGUAGUCGAUGGGAAACAGGUUAAUAUUCCUGUACUUGGUGUUACUGCGAAGGGGGGACGGAGAAGGCUAUGUUGGCCGGGCGACGGUUGUCCCGGUUUAAGCGUGUAGGCUGGUUUUCCAGGCAAAUCCGGAAAAUCAAGGCUGAGGCGUGAUGACGAGGCACUACGGUGCUGAAGCAACAAAUGCCCUGCUUCCAGGAAAAGCCUCUAAGCAUCAGGUAACAUCAAAUCGUACCCCAAACCGACACAGGUGGUCAGGUAGAGAAUACCAAGGCGCUUGAGAGAACUCGGGUGAAGGAACUAGGCAAAAUGGUGCCGUA
rnacentral:rRNA from 1 species